ensembl:snoRNA
AUCCUUUUGCAGUCCAUGAGCGUGACGACAGGUUUUUCAUGCGCAUGCGUGAGAUGGCCUCCCACAAAUCCUGUUAGGAUGGCAGCACAGCACCCAUCUGACA